rnacentral:lncRNA from 1 species
GGUUUAUUUAUUCCAACUGGAUAAACUAUAAUUUCAGGGAUUUUAACAAUGGAGUCUCAGACAUCCAGCAUCCUGUAGUAUUUGCAGAAAUACUUGAUUCAUCCAGAAUGCUUAGAAGACUGAUGAUGUACAAGACUUUUAAUGUACAUUACUUCUGAAAGAGCUCAAAGAGGAGGUGGUCAUACCCCGUCAGAGACCAGAAUCAGCAGGACAAGUGUAGUAGGUCAUUCCACACCCUAAACCUUGUUCAGCAUGGUGGAUCAGUACAUCUAUCCCUGAAUCUUAGUGGCAAAGUGAUCUGGCUAGGAAUUCUUCUGCAGAGUAUUAUGUGAACAACCUAGUGAGGCUCGUGCUGUUCCAUGAAGGCCUGAAGCAUAUUCCAGAGAAUGCUGUUAUAGUAGAGAUUGCUCCACAUGCUCUUUUACAGGUAUUUUAUUUGAUUGUGUCAGUGUGGUAGUAUAUCUCAAAAUGUUCCUGCAGGAAGGAAAUUGAAUGUCUGAAGAUUAGGGAAUAAUGCUUUUUCUUUUUCUUCUUUUUUUCCUUCCCAUUCUGAGAAUACUAUCUUGCUAGAGUACUUUCAAUUCUCUCCCAGU